rnacentral:rRNA from 1 species
AGCGGCGGACGGGUGAGUAAUGCUUAGGAAUCUGCCUAUUAGUGGGGGACAACAUCUCGAAAGGGAUGCUAAUACCGCAUACGUCCUACGGGAGAAAGCAGGGGAUCUUCGGACCUUGCGCUAAUAGAUGAGCCUAAGUCGGAUUAGCUAGUUGGUGGGGUAAAGGCCUACCAAGGCGACGAUCUGUAGCGGGUCUGAGAGGAUGAUCCGCCACACUGGGACUGAGACACGGCCCAGACUCCUACGGGAGGCAGCAGUGGGGAAUAUUGGACAAUGGGGGGAACCCUGAUCCAGCCAUGCCGCGUGUGUGAAGAAGGCCUUAUGGUUGUAAAGCACUUUAAGCGAGGAGGAGGCUACUUUAGUUAAUACCUAGAGAUAGUGGACGUUACUCGCAGAAUAAGCACCGGCUAACUCUGUGCCAGCAGCCGCGGUAAUACAGAGGGUGCAAGCGUUAAUCGGAUUUACUGGGCGUAAAGCGCGCGUAGGCGGCUAAUUAAGUCAAAUGUGAAAUCCCCGAGCUUAACUUGGGAAUUGCAUUCGAUACUGGUUAGCUAGAGUGUGGGA